rnacentral:lncRNA from 1 species
UAGGAAUGACCUUAUAAGUUGAUCACCCCAAUUGUUUAAUCUUCACUAAGCACUACUAUGAAGUCAAGCUAGGUGUAAACACGCAGCUUCUCUGUGUCAGAGAAACUAAUGUGUAAGCACUGUAUCCAGAUUAGCAUUUACAAUAAUUCAUUUCUCAUCUCUACUCAUUUUCAAAAAUUAAAACAUCUUGGUUAAAAGAAUUAGUCUUUUUUUAAUAGAAAUAAGUAUGCCAUUUAUC